UUCAUUGGAAGCAGUUCUCACAG
rnacentral:piRNA from 1 species